AGCAGAGUGGCGCAGUUUUGGGAGCGUGCUGGGCCCAUAACCCAGAGGUCGAUGGAUCGAAACCAUCCUCUGCUA